rnacentral:rRNA from 1 species
UACAGAGGUGGCAAGCGUUGUUCGGAUUUACUGGGCGUAAAGGGCGCGUAGGCGGCCACCGCAAGUCGACUGUGAAAUCUCCGGGCUUAACUCGGAAAGGUCAGCCGAUACUGCGGGGCUAGAGUGCGGAAGGGGCAACUGGAAUUCUCGGUGUAGCGGUGAAAUGCGUAGAUAUCGAGAGGAACACCUGCGGCGAAGGCGGGUUGCUGGGCUGACACUGACGCUGAGGCGCGAAAGCGUGGGGAGCAAACAGG